rnacentral:rRNA from 1 species
GGUCAAGUAAUGAAGUGCACAUGGUGGAUGCCUUGGCAGUCAGAGGCGAUGAAAGACGUGAUAGCCUGCGAUAAGCGUCGGUGAGGUGGCAAUAUCCUGUGACCCGGCGAUUUCUGAAUGGGGAAACCCAGCCAACAUAAGUUGGUUAUCUUAUAUUAGUAUAAGAGGCAAACCGGGAGAAGUGAAACAUCUCAGUACCCCGAGGAAAAGACAUCAAUAGAGAUUCCCCAAGUAGCGGCGAGCGAACUGGGAGAAGCCGAUCAAACUUGUAGUAGCAAAAUGGCGUGGGAAAGCCAACCAUAGUAGGUGAUAGUCCUGUAUGCGAAACUGCAAAUGCGACAUAUUAAGUAGGGCGAGACACGUGAAAUCUUGUCUGAAGAUGGGGGGACCAUCCUCCAAGGCUAAAUACUCCUGACUGACCGAUAGUGAACCAGUACCGUGAGGGAAAGGCGAAAAGAACCCCUGUUAGGGGAGUGAAAUAGAACCUGAAACCGUGUGCAUACAAGCAGUCGGAGCCCACUUGUUGGGUGACGGCGUACCUUUUGUAUAAUGGGUCAGCGACUUAUAUUCUGUAGCAAGGUUAACCGUUUAGGGGAGCCGUAGGGAAACCGAGUCUUAAUAGGGCGAUUAAGUUGCAGGGUAUAGACCCGAAACCGAGUGAUCUAUCCAUGAGCAGGUUGAAAGUGCCGUAACAGGCACCGGAGGACCGAACCCACUGUCGUUGAAAAGCCAGGGGAUGACUUGUGGAUAGGGGUGAAAGGCUAAUCAAACUCGGUGAUAGCUGGUUCUCCCCGAAAGCUAUUUAGGUAGCGCCUCGGACGAAUACCAUUGGGGGUAGAGCACUGUUUCGGCUAGGGGGUCAUCCCGACUUACCAAACCGAUGCAAACUCCGAAUACCGAUGAGUACUAUCCGGGAGACAGACGGCGGGUGCUAACGUUCGUCGUCAAGAGGGAAACAACCCAGACCGCCAGCUAAGGCCCCAAAUUCCUAGUUAAGUGGGAAACGAUGUGGGAAGGCACAGACAGCUAGGAGGUUGGCUUAGAAGCAGCCACCCUUUAAAGAAAGCGUAAUAGCUCACUAGUCGAGUCGGCCUGCGCGGAAGAUGUAACGGGGCUCAAACUAGGAGCCGAAGCUGCGGAUUUAAUUGUUUCAAUUAAGUGGUAGGGGAGCGUUGUGUAAGCCUGUGAAGGUGUGUUGUAAAGCAUGCUGGAGGUAUCACAAGAGCGAAUGCUGACGUGAGUAACGACAAAACGGGUGAAAAGCCCGUUCGCCGGAAGACCAAGGGUUCCAGUCCAACGUUAAUCGGGGCUGGGUGAGUCGACCCCUAAGGCGAGGCCGAAAGGCGUAGUCGAUGGGAAAUUGGUUAAUAUUCCAAUACUUGUUUAUGAUGCGAUGGAGGGACGGAGAAGGUUAUGUCAGCCUGGUGUUGGUUGUCCAGGUGAAAGGAUGUAGGUAGGUUUAGUAGGCAAAUCCGCUAGACUAUUACUGAGAUCUGAUAGCAAGCCAGUUUACUGGCAAAGUGGCAAAUACCAUGCUUCCAGGAAAAGCUUCUAAGCGAUAGUCAUAAACAAAUCGUACCCGAAACCGACACAGGUGGUCAGGUAGAGAAUACCAAGGCGCUUGAGAGAACUCUGCUGAAGGAACUAGGCAAAAUGGUACCGUAACUUCGGGAGAAGGUACGCUGCCGAUGGUGAUAAGACUUGCUCUUUGAGCUGUUGGCAGUCGCAGAUACCAGGCUGCUGCAACUGUUUAUUAAAAACACAGCACUCUGCAAACACGAAAGUGGACGUAUAGGGUGUGAUGCCUGCCCGGUGCUGGAAGGUUAAUUGAUGGGGUUAGCGUAUGCGAAGCUCUUGAUCGAAGCCCCAGUAAACGGCGGCCGUAACUAUAACGGUCCUAAGGUAGCGAAAUUCCUUGUCGGGUAAGUUCCGACCUGCACGAAUGGCAUAAUGAUGGCAGCGCUGUCUCCAGCAGAGACUCAGUGAAAUCGAAAUCGCAGUGAAGAUGCUGUGUACCCGCGGCUAGACGGAAAGACCCCGUGAACCUUUACUACAGCUUUACAUUGAACUUUGACCUAACUUGUGUAGGAUAGGUGGGAGGCUUUGAAGUAGGGACGCCAGUUCCUAUGGAGCCAUCCUUGAAAUACCACCCUGGUUAUGUUGGGGUUCUAACUUAGAUGUAACAACAUCAAGGACAAUGUAUGGUGGGUAGUUUGACUGGGGCGGUCUCCUCCUAAAGAGUAACGGAGGAGUACGAAGGUGCGCUCAGAACGGUCGGAAAUCGUUCAAAGAGUAUAAAGGCAAAAGCGCGCUUAACUGCGAGACCCACAAGUCGAGCAGGUACGAAAGUAGGUCUUAGUGAUCCGGUGGUUCUGUAUGGAAGGGCCAUCGCUCAACGGAUAAAAGGUACUCUGGGGAUAACAGGCUGAUACCGCCCAAGAGUUCAUAUCGACGGCGGUGUUUGGCACCUCGAUGUCGGCUCAUCUCAUCCUGGGGCUGAAGCAGGUCCCAAGGGUAUGGCUGUUCGCCAUUUAAAGAGGUACGCGAGCUGGGUUUAGAACGUCGUGAGACAGUUCGGUCCCUAUCUACCGUGGGCGUUGGAAAUUUGAGAGGAUCUGCUCCUAGUACGAGAGGACCAGAGUGGACGAACCUCUGGUGUUCCGGUUGUUUCGCCAGAAGCACUGCCGGGUAGCUAUGUUCGGAUGGGAUAACCGCUGAAAGCAUCUAAGCGGGAAGCCCACCUCAAGAUUAGAUUUCCCUAAAGAGCCGUUGUAGACUACGACGUUGAUAGGUUGGGUGUGGAAGCAUGGCGACAUGUGUAGCUAACCAAUACUAAUUGCUCGUUUGGCUUGACCAU